CUACGGGUCGCUCCAGUGGGGAAUAUUGGACAAUGGGGGAAACCCUGAUCCAGCAAUGCCGCGUGUGUGAAGAAGGCCUGCGGGUUGUAAAGCACUUUCAGUGGGGAGGAAAGGUAAUAUUCGAAUAGGGUAUUACUGUGACGUUACCCACAGAAGAAGCACCGGCUAACUCUGUGCCAGCAGCCGCGGUAAUACAGAGGGUGCGAGCGUUAAUCGGAAUUACUGGGCGUAAAGCGUGCGUAGGUGGUUAGGGAAGUUGAGUGUGAAAGCCCCGGGCUUAACCUGGGAACUGCACUCAAAACUCCUUGGCUAGAGUAUAGUAGGGGAAAGUGGAAUUUCCGGUGUAGCGGUGAAAUGCGUAGAUAUCGGAAGGAACACCAGUGGCGAAGGCGACUUUCUGGACUAAUACUGACACUGAGGUACGAAAGCGUGGGGAGCAAACAGGAUUAGAUACCCGCGUAGUC
rnacentral:rRNA from 1 species